rnacentral:rRNA from 1 species
AUUGAACGCUGGCGGCAGGCCUAACACAUGCAAGUCGAACGAGUGGCGGACGGGUGAGUAAUGUCUGGGAAACUGCCUGAUGGAGGGGGAUAACUACUGGAAACGGUAUCUAAUACCGCAUACCCUCGGAUGUGCCCAGAUGGGAUUGGCUAGUUGGUGGGGUAAAGGCUCACCUAGGCGACGAUCCCUAGCUGGUCUGAGAGGAUGACCAGCCACACUGGAACUGAGAAACGUGCCCGACGACUACGGGAGGCAGCAGUGGGGCAUAUUGCACAAUGGGCGCAAGCCUGAUGCAGCCAUGCCGCGUGUAUGAAGAAGGCCUUCGGGUUGUAAAGUACUUUCAGCGGGGAGGCGUUACCCGCAGAAGAAGCACCGGCUAACUCCGUGCCAGCAGCCGCGGUAAUUC